GAUGAACGCUAGCGGGAGGCCUAAUACAUGCAAGUCGAACGGUAAGGUCCCUUCGGGGAUACACGAGUGGCGGACGGGUGCGUAACGCGUACGAAACAUACCUUCAACAGGGAGAUACCUCCGGGAAACUGGAAAUAAUACCCCAUAGUAUUGAGAUAUCGCAUGAUAUUUCAAUUAAAGCUUUGGCGGUUGAAGAUUGUCGUGCGUCUGAUUAGCUAGUUGGUGAGGUAACGGCUCACCAAGGCGACGAUCAGUAGCUGGUCUGAGAGGAUGAUCAGCCACACUGGAACUGAGACACGGUCCAGACUCCUACGGGAGGCAGCAGUAGGGAAUAUUGGACAAUGGGCGGAAGCCUGAUCCAGCCAUCCCGCGUGUAGGAAUAAGGCCCU
rnacentral:rRNA from 1 species